rnacentral:rRNA from 1 species
AUUGAACGCUGGCGGAAUGCUUUACACAUGCAGGUCGAACGGCAGCACGGGAGCUUGCUCCUGGUGGCGAGUGGCGAACGGGUGAGUAAUACAUCGGAACGUACCCAGUAGUGGGGGAUAACGCACCGAAAGGUGCGCUAAUACCGCAUACGACCUAAGGGUGAAAGCGGGGGACCGUAAGGCCUCGCGCUAUUGGAGCGGCCGAUGUCUGAUUAGCUAGUUGGCGGGGUAAUAGCCCACCAAGGCGACGAUCAGUAGCUGGUCUGAGAGGACGAUCAGCCACACUGGGACUGAGACACGGCCCAGACUCCUACGGGAGGCAGCAGUGGGGAAUUUUGGACAAUGGGGGCAACCCUGAUCCAGCAAUGCCGCGUGUGCGAAGAAGGCCUUCGGGUUGUAAAGCACUUUUGUCAGGGAAGAAAUCUUUCAGGCUAAUACCCUUGGAAGGAUGACGGUACCUGAAGAAUAAGCACCGGCUAACUACGUGCCAGCCGCCGCGGUAA